ACGUAGGAGGCGAGCGUUAUCCGGAUUUACUGGGUGUAAAGCGCGUGCAGGCGGUUUGUUAAGUUGGAUGUGAAAGCUCCUGGCUCAACUGGGAGAGGUCGUUCAAGACUGGCAGACUGGAGAGUGGUAGGGGAAGGUGGAAUUCCGGGUGUAGUGGUGAAAUGCGUAGAUAUCCGGAGGAACACCAGUGGCGAAAGCGGCCUUCUAGACCAUAUCUGACGCUCAGACGCGAAAGCUAGGGUAGCAAACGGGAUUAGAGACCCCGGUAGUCCUAGCCGUAAACGAUGUGAACUUGGCGUUGAGUGGGUAAAACCAAUCAGUGCCGCAGCAAACGCGAUAAGUUCACCACCUGGGGACUACGGCCGCAAGGUUA
rnacentral:rRNA from 1 species